UACAGAGGUCUCAAGCGUUGUUCGGAUUCAUUGGGCGUAAAGGGUGCGUAAGCGGGUCUUUAAGUCAGGGGUGAAAUCCUGGAGCUCAACUCCAGAACUGCCUUUGAUACUGAAGAUCUUGAGUUCGGGAGAGGUGAGUGGAACUGCGAGUGUAGAGGUGAAAUUCGUAGAUAUUCGCAAGAACACCAGUGGCGAAGGCGGCUCACUGGCCCGAUACUGACGCUGAGGCACGAAAGCGUGGGGAGCAAACAGG
rnacentral:rRNA from 1 species